CCGAGUGCGGGUCCUUUGGGCCCAACCUCCCAUCCGUGUCUAUUGUACCCUGUUGCUUCGGCGGGCCCGCCGCUUGUCGGCCGCCGGGGGGGCGCCUCUGCCCCCCGGGCCCGUGCCCGCCGGAGACCCCAACACGAACACUGUCUGAAAGCGUGCAGUCUGAGUUGAUUGAAUGCAAUCAGUUAAAACUUUCAACAAUGGAUCUCUUGGUUCCGGCAUCGAUGAAGAACGCAGCGAAAUGCGAUAACUAAUGUGAAUUGCAGAAUUCAGUGAAUCAUCGAGUCUUUGAACGCACAUUGCGCCCCCUGGUAUUCCGGGGGGCAUGCCUGUCCGAGCGUCAUUGCUGCCCUCAAGCCCGGCUUGUGUGUUGGGUCGCCGUCCCCCUCUCCGGGGGGACGGGCCCGAAAGGCAGCGGCGGCACCGCGUCCGAUCCUCGAGCGUAUGGGGCUUUGUCACAUGCUCUGUAGGAUUGGCCGGCGCCUGCCGACGUUUUCCAACCAUUCUUUCCAGG
rnacentral:sRNA from 1 species